rnacentral:misc_RNA from 1 species
AAGUCGUAACAAGGUUUCCGUAGGUGAACCUGCGGAAGGAUCAUUACCAAAAGGAACCCUUCGGGGUAUAUCCAAAACCCAUUGUUUAAAUAACCUGUUUCUUUGGCGGGCUUAACCGUCAGAAGUUUUCUCAAACUCAUUAUAAACAUGUCAUCUGAAUAGAAUAAGAAAUAAAUUAAAACUUUCAACAACGGAUCUCUUGGUUCUG